ensembl:lncRNA
GUAACAGUCCAGCGUCUUGCAGCGCUGAGCCCCGCAAUAGCCCCCCACCACGUACAGUCUGUUCCCCGACGUGACGGCGCGGCAGCUGAUGCGCUUAGCGGUAACAUCCCCAAACUUGGACCACUGGAAGGUGUCACUGUGGAAGCGGUAUGCGGAGCUGGCGGAGAACUCAGUGUCCCCGCCGAUGACGAUGAUGUGGCUGCCCACCACGGCGGCGGCCGUGUACCGCCAGGGCUGCGGGCAGCUGGCGGGCACCGUCCAGCGAUUCUGGCAGGGGUCGAAGCACUGCACCUUGGGCAGCUUCUCCUGGUUGGCGCUGGUGCCACCAAAGACAAACAGCUUCAUCUUGGCUCCCACCACGGCGGCGUUGCUCACGCCUUCGCGGAGAGGAGCCACCAAGGACCAUUUGUCCAGCUGCGGGUCGUAGUGUUCCACUUGCUUGAGAGAGACGGAGGGAGAGGCCGGGAAGGCACCGCUCCCUGCUGUGUGACCCCCCACCACGUACAGGCAGUGGUCCAGCUCAGCGGAGCCAUGGCCAAACCGCGCCACCAGCAUGGGAGCAGCUUUUCCCCACUCGUCGUGGAGGGUGUCGUAAACCCAGACAUCUUUGGAAGCUCCGUUCUCGGAGCCUUUGCCGCCGGUGAUGUACACCUUGCACCCGAUAGCACAGGCGCUGCACUCUUUCCGAGGGCUCGGGAUGUCAGCACGAGGAAUGAUCUCGCUGGUUUUAUGAUCCAGCAUGUAAAUCUUGUCGCACAUGAAGGUCUGGCCCCCGAGCAGCAGCAGGGCCUGGCUGACCUUGCGGGGUCGGGCACAGCAGCCUGUCACCAAGCCAUCAUUUUGCAGGAUCUUCAUUUUGCAUCGGACGGCGUCAGCCACGAUCUCUUCCCCCAGCUUGUGGCUGGUCACCAGCUUCUCACAGGCCACUUGCUUCCGCAGGUAGGACUCAGGCAGAAGGGCCAGGCGGACCGAGCGCAGCAGCUCUGGCAGAACUUCAUGACGUCGGGGCAAAUCGUACCGGAUCCAACCUAUAACAGCUUCAUAGACCAAUGUCUCAUCCUCUACCUCCAGCUCUUCACUCUCCACCAGCUCCAGCAGCUUGUCUUUGGGCAGUCGGAGGAAAUCUUCAGUCUUGCAGAGCGAGGUGAAGUUGGCCAACGCCAUCCUCCAGGACAGCUCCAGCAGCCGCUCACAGCAGUGGGCAUCGGACAGCAGCAGCAUGUUCAAGCAAUUCCCGGGGUAGAGAUUCUUCUCCAGAAAGUCAGCCGAAGCAUCUCGAAUAUCCUGAAACUGCAACAUGUCCCCAGCUUCCAGCAAGGACUCGGCGUUCUCCUCGUUAAUAAGCACCCGCGCCGAGUAGGCAUAGUCCAGCAGCAGCUCCAGCACCUCGGGAUGGAGGGAGUCGUGGAAGUUGACCUCAGCGUCUUUGCUCUCCUUCAGGCCCCCGCUGAACAUAGCGUCGAAGUAGCGGCUGCAGGACGCCAGGACAGCCCGGUGGCAGUGGAAGGUCUGGUUCCCAGCGCGCAGGAGGGGCGCUGGGACGAAUCGCGGGCUGGUCCGCUAAGACCGGCACCACGUCGGUGAAGAGGUGCCGCUUGCGGAGCAGGUUGAGGUGGUGAGGAGGCUGUCGGCGUGGCCCGGUUUGUGGAAGAGGUGGAUGUUCAUGGAGCCGGAGCUCGAGCGGGAUUUCCGGUUCUCGUGGCUGCUCACGGACAUGGUGCUGAGGCUGUUCUGCAAAGGGAAAACCGGACAGCCAGCACAGGAAGCACCGGGACCGGCGGGGGUGCAGCUGGGACCGCGCCGGACGGCUGCAGCGGGACGGCGGGACUGCGGAAUCCGACCGGUAAGAGGAGAGCGGAGGGAGGGGGGCGUCCCGCAGCGGCGGGGCUCGCCCAGCGCAGCCCGAAGCGGGGCACCGGGCGGUCCCGGAGCAGAGGCGGGUGCAGGGCACGGUACAGCGGGACCCGCGCAGCGCCGAUCGCUCCCGCACCUCGCUCCGCUCCCGCCGCUCGCUCUGCCGCCGCGCCCC